AGAGCAAGAAGAAAAAAAGAGAACAUGAAAUGCAUCGAUACAGUACACGUGUGUUCGUGUUCGUGUUUUCCUAUUGUGUUCCUCUCUCUUUCCUGUUGUUUCAAUAUCC
rnacentral:ribozyme from 14 species